CUGACCGAGGGGCGGACGCGCGGCGGGGCAGACCGCUGGGGACUGCGGGCGGCGCUGUGUCCGUCGCCAUGACAGAUCAGACCUAUUGUGACCGCCUGGUGCAGGACACGCCUUUCCUGACAGGCCACGGGCGCUUGAGUGAGCAGCAGGUGGACAGGAUCAUCCUCCAGCUGAACCGUUACUACCCACAGAUCCUUACCAACAAGGAGGCGGAAAAGUUCCGGAACCCUAAGGCAUCCUUGCGUGUGCGGCUCUGUGACCUCCUGAGCCACCUGCAGCGGAGCGGUGAGCGGGACUGCCAGGAGUUCUACCGAGCCCUGUAUAUCCAUGCCCAGCCCCUGCACAGCGCCUGCCCAGCCGCCACGCUCUGCGACCCAUGAGCUUCCUGGCUGGCCUGGGCCUUGCUGUGGGACUGGCCCUGCUCCUGUACUGCUAUCCGCCAGACCCCAAGGGCCUGCCAGGGACCCGGCGCGUCCUCGGUUUCUCGCCUGUCAUCAUCGACAGACAUGUCAGCCGCUACCUGCUGGCCUUCCUGGCAGAUGACCUAGGGGGGCUCUGACAGACCCCGGACCCAGGGCCUCACCUGCCACUCAACCAAAGAGUCCUCGAGCCGGCCCGCCAAGGGGACUGCUGCUUCUUUUUCUAAAUGCAUAUUUUUC
rnacentral:sRNA from 1 species